GAUGAACGCUGGCGGCGUGCCUAAACCAUGCCAGUCGACCAAAAGGUGAGGAGCUUUCUCCUCUGAUGUUUGCGGCGGACGGGUGAGUAACCCCGUGAAAACCUACCUUUAAGACUGGGAUAAAUUCGGGAAACCGGAGCUAAUACCGGAUAACAUUGUUAACCGCAUGGUUCAACAGUGAAAGACGGUCUUGCUGUCACUUAUAGAUGGAUCCGCGCCGCAUUAGCUAGUUGGUAAGGUAACGGCUUACCAAGGCAACGAUGCGUAGCCGACCUGAGAGGGUGAUCGGCCACACUGGAACUGAGACACGGUCCAGACUCCUACGGGAGGCAGCAGUAGGGAAUCUUCCGCAAUGGGCGAAAGCCUGACGGAGCAACGCCGCGUGAGUGAAGAAGGUCUUCGGAUCGUAAAACUCUGUUAUUAGGGAAGAACAAAUGUGUAAGUAACUAUGCACGUCUUGACGGUACCUAAUCAGAAAGCCACGGCUAACUACGUG
rnacentral:rRNA from 1 species